GGGCCUGUGGUUUAAUGGUAAAACGCCUCAUUCGCAUUGAGGAGAGUAGCGGUUCGAUUCCGCUCAGGUCC
rnacentral:tRNA from 1 species